UGAGAAGAGGAUACCUUGUUCACUCAUUGCAGUUUAAGACUUAACAGGCAGUAGCAGCCUUUGCAGGUCAUGGUGGUUAUGGCUCGCAGGUUCAUCCUUAAAUCAUGGUCAUCAUAGGUUCACCUCACCCUGGAGGCUCUUCAAAGGAGUUAUUGUGGUCGCCAGAGGAAGCAGAUGCAAGAGAGUAAAGGAGGGGGCUUGUUGUGAAUAAGUUAUGAGAAAUGUGUCAUGAAG
rnacentral:lncRNA from 1 species